UACGUAGGAGGCGAGCGUUGUUCGGAAUUACUGGGUGUAAAGCGCGUUCAGGCGGUUCGGCAAGUCGGGCAUGAAAUCUCUCGGCUCAACCGGGAGAGGUUGUCCGAUACUGCUGGACUUGAGGGCAGUAGAGGGUGGUGGAAUUCCGGGUGUAGUGGUGAAAUGCGUAGAUAUCUGGAGGAACACCGGUGGCGAAGGCGGCAUUCUGGACUACAACUGACACUGAGGAACGAAAGCCAGGGGAGCAAACGGG
rnacentral:rRNA from 1 species